rnacentral:rRNA from 1 species
GUGUCAGCAGCCGCGGUAAUACGUAGGGGGCAAGCGUUGUCCGGAUUUACUGGGCGUAAAGGGCGCGUAGGCGGUCUGUUAAGUGUGAAGUGAAAUCUCCAGAGCUCAACUCGGAAAUUGCUUCGCAUACUGGCUGACUUGAGGGACGUAGAGGUGAAUAGAAUUCCCGGUGUAACGGUGACAUGUGAAAAUAUCGGGAGGAAUACCAAUGGCGAAGGCAGUUCACUGGACGUUUCCUGACGCUGAGGCGCGAAAGCGUGGGUAGCAAACAGGAUUAGAUACCCUGGUAGUCC